rnacentral:rRNA from 1 species
UGGGGAAUCUUGCGCAAUGGGCGCAAGCCUGAUCCAGCCAUGCCGCGUGAGUGAUGAAGGUCUUAGGGUUGUAAAGCUCUUUUGCCGGGGACGAUAAUGACGGUACCCGGAGAAUAAGUCCCGGCUAACUUCGUGCCAGCAGCCGCGGUAAUACGAAGGGGACUAGCGUUGUUCGGAAUCACUGGGUGUAAAGCGCACGUAGGCGGAUUUGUAAGUCAGGGGUGAAAUCCCGGGGCUCAACCUCGGAACUGCCUUUGAUACUGCGGAUCUCGAGUCCGAUAGAGGUGAGUGGAAUUCCUAGUGUAGAGGUGAAAUUCGUAGAUAUUAGGAAGAACACCGGUGGCGAAGGCGGCCCACUGGAUCGGUACUGACGCUGAGGUGCGAAAGCGUGGGGAGCAAACAGGAUUAGAUACCCCCGUAGUCCCUGAGCGGGCUGGCAAGGCGCAU